UACGGAGGGUGCAAGCGUUGUCCGGAAUCACUGGGCGUAAAGGGCGCGUAGGCGGCUCAUGAAGCUGUGGUGAAAGUCCGGGGCUCAACCUCGGAUCGGCCGUGGCGACUCGUGGGCUGGAGCACUGUAGAGGCGGGUGGAAUUCCGGGUGUAGCGGUGGAAUGCGUAGAGAUCCGGAAGAACACCAGUGGCGAAGGCGGCCCGCUGGGCAGUGGCUGACGCUGAGGCGCGACAGCGUGGGGAGCAAACGAGG
rnacentral:rRNA from 1 species